rnacentral:lncRNA from 1 species
CAAACUUUGGCAAUAACCCAGUUCACAUUUCCCAACAUAAAGCAAACCAGACCACAUGUACCCCCACUACUUCUCGCUACAGUCUACACGCCUGCAACUUUUUGUAGGCACUACUAUAUCUGUUACACCAAACCUCACUAUCUACUAGUAUAAAUAUAGGUAUAUCUUUCAAUUACCCAUCUCACCAGAAACCUCUAAGAUUUUCAUAGUCUUUGUUAUAUUUGGAGCUUUUGUUUUGUUCACUUCAAAAAAUGGCCAGUUUCAAGUGUUUAGCUAUUCUUGGUUUACUUGUUUCAGCCUUAGCAGUGAGUGAAAGUAGGGUUAAAAGGAAGGACCUAGGGAUUGACCUUGGGGGAGUUGGGGUUGGGUUAGGUGUUGGACUGGGGCUUGGACUUGGUGGUAGUGGGUCAGGCUCAGGUGCAGGAGCUGGGUCUGGCUCUGGAUCUGGGGAA